GUUUAGAGUAUACAUUUUUGCUGAAUUUGUGGGCAGUCAGACUGGAGUAUUAAUUUGGUCAGAUUAUAGAGAGGCUUGGCUGGGCAUGGUGGCUCCUGUCUUUAAUCCCAACACUUCGGGAAGCUGAGGCAGGUGGAUUGCUUGAGCCCGGGAGGUUGAGCCGUGAUCACACCACUGCACUCCAGCCUUGGUGGGAGCAAGACCCUGUCUCAAGAAAGAAGAGCCUUGUCUGCCAGCCUGAUGAAUUUGAACUUUGUCAUAUGGGCCAUGUAGAAAUUGAAGGUUCUUGAAAAAAGAAAACACUGUCAAAUCAGAAAUAGUUAAUCUGAUAGGGUAGGCUGACCGAAGUUAGAGUAGCCAUUGUAGAAGUUGGGCAGGUGUGUAUUAUAGAGGGAUGUAUUAACCUAUAGUACAAUGGUAGCAGUGAAACUAGGAAGGACACAGUGGGCAUGGGCAAAUACAGAG
rnacentral:lncRNA from 10 species